CCCAGAGAUUUUCUCGAUGUUCACAAGAUCACCGACAGUUCCUAGACAUUAAUAACGGGAAGAUCUAGAAACUGCGACGUGCUGGAGACGCCACCCCCUUCCUUAGACAGGCAAUAAGUCAGAGGGGCGCUUUCCUUCUACUCCCACGCCCAUCAUCCCUGCCCCCUCCCAUGCCCUUGUCUUUCCCGCCCUCGCAGGGCCCCUGCCAUUGCGCGCAGAAUCCGCCAGGGGGCUCCCUGGCAGCCGCGGGAAGGGCCGGCGGCCGCCCCGCUUCAGGAGGGAACUGAGCAUGCGCCUGGCUGUUCGGCGAGCGCUGCCCGGGCGCUGCCCGGCAGAAGCCGGAGGCGCGUCCGCCCUUUGCACGGCGUCCGAUUCUGCAGCCCUCGCCGGGAGCCUUCGGCUGAGCCUUUCCGGGGGGCUGCCAGGAAGCCUCGCAGGGAUGGCGGUCCGGACGCGGCUCCAGGGUUCAGUGAGUGGGGCGCUUCUCGGGCAAAGGGGUCUCACGCUGGAGCGCGCCUGGAGACCUGCGAAGUCCUCGUCCAGGAGUUGAUCCAGAAGGUUCUCCUGAAUUUCCCCCAGGUGCAGAUAAGUCAGCCUAUCUAAUAAGAUACUCUCCCUCUUCCCAGACAUUGAUAUGUAAGCUGGAAAUCUUUCGUGUUUCCUCUGGAGACUAAGGUAUCUUCUAAGUGAAGAGGGCUGAAUGGCCUUGGGAGACUUGUCCAAGACCUCUUCAUGAAGUUCAGGCCUUGUGAAUAGAAAGACCUGUGGAGAUCCAUUGGCCCAUUUUGGAGCUGGAUUAGAAAACAGAGAGAAGAUGGAGGGGCAACACCCAGCAGAUGGAGGACCUAGAAAAGGCCCUCCAGCUGCUCAGCCUUGGAGCUGUGGGAGGAAUGGGGCAAGUCCUGGGCAGAAGACCCAAGAAGAGGAAGCCAACAGUUCAGCAGUCCAGUACUGUCACUUCAGAAAAGGGUACUUCCAGGAGGUGACAGGGCACCAAGAUGUUUGCAGCCACCCCACCCCCUUUUCCAUCAGUGGCUGCAGCCAGGAAGACACAUGAAGGCUCAGAUGCUGGAUGUGGUGCUCCUGGAGCAGUUCCUGGCUGUCCUUCCCCCAGAGAUGGAGAAAUGGGUGUGGGAGUAUGGAGCGGAGACCAGUUCCCAAGAGGUGGCCCUGGCCGAAGGCUUUCUCCUGAGCCAGAAGGAGGGAAAGAUGCAAGAAGAAUUGCAGGUGUGAGAAUGUAAUUGUAGCAGCUCUAAAGAGGAGUUUAAGGUAAUGAUCUCUCUGAAUUUGUAAAUAUGUCUCUGACAGGUUUUCUGGGAUUAUGAACUCCUAAGGCCAAUUGUUUCAUUCUUCUUCCAGAGGAUAUAUUUGGGGCAAUUCUUCCAUUUUUGCUUUGCAGUUUCAGUGAUGGACAUUGGGGUCUGCUAGUUGAGGGUGCAGUAUGAGAAUUCAUUUCUUUCCCUGUAUUCUCCCCUUGUUUCUGCUGGGACAUCACUCCAGAAGUCCUUGGAAGCUGUCACUGAGUAGCCCAAGGGAAGGAAAGAUUCAUCCAAACUCUCUCAAGAGCUGCUGUUCAAGGAGAUCUUCCAGAAAGAUCAAAGUUAGGACACCAUGCCAGAGAACAGAAAGCUGACCUUGGUAUUUUUAGAAUCACCUCCUCUUUGAGGUGGAGCUGAAAGAGUGGCUGAACCUUUGCCUCAGGUAGGAGGAGAAACAUCAGAAAAGAUCCAUGAAUCUUGGAGGGUUUCAUUUUAUUCUGGAGUUCAGUGUAUAAUAUUGUUGUUUCUAAGCAACAUGAAAUUUAUAUUUUGAAUUUAAACACCGCCCAUCUCACGAGGAAGUGACAUAGUGAAAUGGGAAAAUUUAGAUCAGGUCAUUGAACAUUCACACCCAGCUUAGCCUACCUUUCAAGAAUGUUGUGAAGACACAAGAAAGAAAAUCAAUUGUAACCCCUCCCCCCAUGUAAAUCUUUCCUUUUUUGUAUUUUACAAUAAUUAAUGUAAGAACUAUUUCAAGCAGUUAGAAUAAAAUCAUGAGAGAGAUAGCAACAGUUAAAAGGAGCCUCCAUCCUUUCCUUUAUUCCCUUGGAAGAAUUCAAUCUCAUGUUCCUAAACGUACAAAUUGAUGUAUUUCAGUUUUCAAAAAGGAUCUUUCUGCACCAUAUAAAAUUUGUGUUUCUACCAAGUGACAAAUUAUAUGGUAACCAGAAUGAAUAGAUGUUUCCAAGACUAUAAAAAGAUCUAAUAAAAUGGCCAAAUAAAAUGUCUGUUAAUAAAAAUUAUGCCCAAACAGCUUGUAAUCAAAGCACUUAGACCUUGCCAAGGAAUUUCUAACAACCUGAUUUGUGCCUGGAUGCUAGCCAGCCCAGCUUCGCAAAAUCUGAGAAAUUUCUUCUUAGGAAUGUUCUUAGCUCCCUAGUUCAGACUGUGAGCAGCUUCCCUAGAAUCUGAAGAGAACCAGACAUUGGUCUGUGUCUCAUCUGCAUCUUGAUAGUCCUCACACAGAUCCCUGGAUGAAUUCUAUUAGCCAUUUGAGGUAAUCCAGACAAGAAGCAGGAUAAUGAAUUCUAGCUCUACUUCACUGUAAGGUUGCAUGAACAGAAUCUUGUAAGUCUGAAAGUAUCCCUCCUAUCCCUUGCUUUUAUUCUCCUGAAACCUAGGGAGGGUCCCUUCUGAUAAACUUCAUCCACCCCUUCUGCUUCAGCUCAGAUUUCAUUGACCAGACUGUUGUUUCGGCUGUGGCUCUUCCUCCUGUCUCCCAGGAUCAUUCCCUCAUGCCCUUACAAGCUUUCCCAACACUUUCAUGAAGGUAUGGAGUGUGAGCAGGUCGGUCCCUCAGUGGACAAAGCAGGCCAUGGGAAAAAUGUCAGAUAGGUUUCCCCAGUAUUUCCUUCUGCCCUCACUAGGAAGAAUUGGAGCCACUGGUAAGUAGUGGGUCUAAGACUCAACUGCCAGUUGAUCAAGAAGACUAUUUUAGUUGGUUUCACUGAAAGGCAUUCCAAGUCCUGCAGUAAAUUUGAUAAAAUGUGCUCCAAUUGUGCUGUCAGCCAAAAGCUGUGAGAUCUCAUUUUGAAUCCUGCAGAAUAUGCCCAUUUCAUUCACUGCAUCUCUCUCCUGAAAUUGGUAGAAGAGAACUCUCAAAUUCUUCUUGGGGUUGUCUGUUAAUAGGGAAACUUGUUUACUUGUUCAGGAUCUUGUGUUCUUCAAGGAAGUGGAUGCGUAUUUCUCCAAGGAGGGGUGGUGUCAGCUGGAUCCUGACCAAAAAG